rnacentral:sRNA from 1 species
GUUUGAUAAAACAUGGUGGAGACAGCGGCUGAAAUGGAAGCAUAUGUUCUAGAAGACAUUCUUGAGGUGGAGUCCUUCAUUUUGGAUCAGGAUGAUUUGGAAAAUCCAAUGCUGGAAACAGCUUCCAAGUUGCUCUUAUCAGGUACUGCUGAUGGUGCAGACCUCAGGACAGUAGAUCCAGAAACACAGGCUAGACUGGAAGCUUUACUAGAAGCUGCAGCAACAUGGAUGCAGCUGGAGCCCAUUAUCCUAAGUGAAUUAAAGCAGGAACAAAAAACCAAAUGCCACGUUAUUACUUAUAAGUGGGAGCUGAACAUUGAGUACACAUGGACAUUAAGAAGGGAACAAUAGGCACCAGGGCCUACUUGAGAAUGGGAGGAAGGAAUAGGAAAAUUGUCCACGGCUGAUGGUAAAGCCUUUGCAGAUCCUGAAGUACUCCGGAGGUUGACAUCGUCUGUUAGUUGUGCGUUGGAUGAAGCUGCUGCUGCACUUACCCGUAUGAGAGCUGAAAGCACAGCAAAUGCAGGGCAGUCGGACAA